rnacentral:misc_RNA from 1 species
GAUGAAGAACGCAGCGAAAUGCGAUAAGUAAUGUGAAUUGCAGAAUUCAGUGAAUCAUCGAAUCUUUGAACGCAUCUUGCGCUCCUUGGUAUUCCGCAGGGCAUGCCUGUUCGAGCGUCAUUUCAACCCUCAAGCCCCGCUUGGUGUUGGGCCCCGCCCGCUGUGGCCGGCCCUAAAGACAGUGGCGGCGCCGCCUGGCCCUCAGCGUAGUACAUCUCUCGCUCCAGGGUCCGGUGGCCGCCUGCCAGAACCCCCCAACUCUGUGGUUGACCUCGGAUCAGGUAGGGAUACCCGCUGAACUUAAGCAUAUCAAUAAGCGGAGGA